AUUGAACGCUGGCGGAAUGCUUUACACAUGCAAGUCGAACGGUAGAGGGGGCAACCCCUUGAGAGUGGCGAACGGGUGAGUAAUAUAUCGGAACGUGCCCAGUCGUGGGGAUAACGUAGCGAAAGUUACGCUAAUACCGCAUACGAUCUAAGGAUGAAAGCGGGGGAUCGCAAGACCUCGCGCGAUUGGAGCGGCCGAUAUCAGAUUAGGUAGUUGGUGAGGUAAAGGCUCACCAAGCCAACGAUCUGUAGCUGGUCUGAGAGGACGACCAGCCACACUGGAACUGAGACACGGUCCAGACUCCUACGGGAGGCAGCAGUGGGGAAUUUUGGACAAUGGACGCAAGUCUGAUCCAGCCAUUCCGCGUGCAGGAUGAAGGCCCUCGGGUUGUAAACUGCUUUUGUACGGAACGAAAAGGUUUGUCUUAAUACGAUGAGCUCAUGACGGUACCGUAAGAAUAAGCACCGGCUAAC
rnacentral:rRNA from 1 species